UAGGGAAUCUUCGGCAAUGGACGGAAGUCUGACCGAGCAACGCCGCGUGAGUGGAGAAGGUUUUCGGAUCGUAAAGCUCUGUUGUAAGAGAAGAACGAGUGUGAGAGUGGAAAGUUCACACUGUGACGGUAUCUUACCAGAAAGGGACGGCUAACUACGUGCCAGCAGCCGCGGUAAUACGUAGGUCCCGAGCGUUGUCCGGAUUUAUUGGGCGUAAAGCGAGCGCAGGCGGUUAGAUAAGUCUGAAGUUAAAGGCUGUGGCUUAACCAUAGUACGCUUUGGAAACUGUUUAACUUGAGUGCAAGAGGGGAGAGUGGAAUUCCAUGUGUAGCGGUGAAAUGCGUAGAUAUAUGGAGGAACACCGGUGGCGAAAGCGGCUCUCUGGCUUGUAACUGACGCUGAGGCUCGAAAGCGUGGGGAGCAAACAGGAUUAGAUACCCUGGUAGUCCACGCCGUAAACGAUGAGUGCUAGGUGUUAGACCCUUUCCGGGGUUUAGUGCCGCAGCUAACGCAUUAAGCACUCCGCCUGGGGAGUACGACCGCAAGGUUG
rnacentral:rRNA from 1 species